GACGAACGCUGGCGGCGUGCUUAACACAUGCAAGUCGAACGGAAAGGCCCUUCGGGGUACUCGAGUGGCGAACGGGUGAGUAACACGUGGGUGAUCUGCCCUGCACUUUGGGAUAAGCCUGGGAAACUGGGUCUAAUACCGAAUAGGACCGCAUGCUUCAUGGUGUGUGGUGGAAAGCUUUUGCGGUGUGGGAUGGGCCCGCGGCCUAUCAGCUUGUUGGUGGGGGAAUGGCCUACCAAGGCGACGACGGGGAGCCGGCCUGGGAGGGUGACCGGCCACAUGGGGACUGAGGUACGGCCCAGACUCCUUCGGGAGGCAGCAGUGGGGAAUAUUGCACAAUGGGCGCAAGCCUGAUGCAGCGACGCCGCGUGAGGGAUGACGGCCUUCGGGUUGUAAACCUCUUUCAGCAGGGACGAAGCGCAAGUGACGGUACCUGCAGAAGAAGGACCGGCCAACUACGUGCCAGCCGCCGCCGUAA
rnacentral:rRNA from 1 species